rnacentral:rRNA from 1 species
AUACGUAGGGUGCGAGCGUUGUCCGGAAUUACUGGGCGUAAAGAGCUCGUAGGUGGUUUGUCGCGUCGUCUGUGAAAUUCCGGGGCUUAACUCCGGGCGUGCAGGCGAUACGGGCAUAACUUGAGUACUGUAGGGGAGACUGGAAUUCCUGGUGUAGCGGUGAAAUGCGCAGAUAUCAGGAGGAACACCGGUGGCGAAGGCGGGUCUCUGGGCAGUAACUGACGCUGAGGGGCGAAAGAAUGGGUAGCGAACAGGAUUAGAUACCCUGGUAGUCCAUGCCGUAAACGGUGGGCGCUAGGUGUGGGGGGCUUCCACGACUUCUGUGCCGUAGCUAACGCAUUAAGCGCCCCGCCUGGGGAGUACGGCCGCAAGGCUGAAACUCAAAGGAAUUGACGGGG